CGCAGCGCCCCCUGGGACGGGCGUCGCCUGGGCCCGCCCCCUGGCCGCGCGGCGAUUGGUCGACACCGCCCCAGACACCUGCCCCUUACCUUAGGGGGCGUGGCUACCUGGGCCCGCCCCACGUGGCUCGGGUUCCCAGGCGGUGCCUCCUCGGGCCCCGCCCCCAGCCCCAGGUCCCGCCCCUUCGAUCUCGGAUCCCGGGCGCCUCGUGAUGUCACGGCCGCUUUGAUACAAAGAACCCUUCGGCCCACGCGGGUCUCCCGGCAACCGGCGCGGGCGGGGGCGGGGCCGGCAUCUCCCGCGGGGGCCGCAGCGUGCGAUCCGCCGGCCGCGGGGCUGUGCCGCUCUCUCCGCGCCGCCCGCCACGUCCCUCCCCGCCGCGAGCCACCCGUGUCCGCCUGCUCCUCCGCGGCGCCCCGACCUGCGAUCGGACCUGGAAUGCGCACCCCGCCGGCCCCCGGGGGCCAGGGCAGCGAGCUGCCAGG